AGAGUUUGAUCAUGGCUCAGAACGAACGCUGGCGGCGUGGAUAAGACAUGCAAGUCGAACGGGACCAAGUCUGUAGUAAUACAAACUUGGUUCAGUGGCGCACGGGUGCGUAACACGUGAGCAAUCUGCCGGGAAGUGGGGGAUAGCUCGCCGAAAGGCGAAUUAAUACCGCAUGUGGCCAUUCUUCGAGUGGAGGAAAAGCCAAAGCAGCAAUGCGCUUCCUGAUGAGCUCGCGGCCUAUCAGCUCGAUGGCGGGGUAAUGGCCCACCAUGGCUUUGACGGGUAGCUGGUCUGAGAGGACGACCAGCCACACUGGAACUGAGACACGGUCCAGACACCUACGGGUGGCAGCAGUCGAGAAUUUUUCACAAUGGGGGAAACCCUGAUGGAGCGACGCCGCGUGGAGGAUGAAGGCCUUCGGGUUGUAAACUCCUGUCAUGCGGGAACAAGCAAGUGAUAGUACCGCAAGAGGAAGAGACGGCUAACUCUGUGCCAGCAGCCGCGGUAAUACAGAGGUCUCAAGCGUUGUUCGGAUUCAUUGGGCGUAAAGGGUGCGUAGGUGGUGAUGCAAGUCUGGUGUGAAAUCUCGGAGCUCAACUCCGAAAUUGCACCGGAUACUGCGUGACUCGAGGACUGUAGAGGAGAUCGGAAUUCACGGUGUAGCAGUGAAAUGCGUAGAUAUCGUGAGGAAGACCAGUUGCGAAGGCGGAUCUCUGGGCAGUUCCUGACACUGAGGCACGAAGGCCAGGGGAGCAAACGGGAUUAGAUACCCUAGUAGUCC
rnacentral:rRNA from 1 species